UGGUUUUUGGUUUGUAACGGGUGGUUGGAUGUCUGCUUGAGCAGCAACUUCCAUGCGUUCUUACCUCUUCAGUUGUGUUACAAGGUUAAUUUGCCUUGAACAUGGUGGGUUGCUGUGUUGCAUACCUAAUUGAUGGCAUUGUGCUGUUUGAAUAAAGUUUCCUUUCGUUAGGCGUCGCUUGCGGUGCCAACGAACCUUGAAGCUGUCUUUGUGGUCCAUGUUUUCAAUGCGGAUGCGUUGAUGGCAUGGCCUAUGAAGUGUUGCUUGGUCUCUUGGAUAUGGAACCUGGUGUGGGCACAUGGUCAGACAUGAUCAUGUAUUUUGCCCUACAUGAGCGUUUCGCUUCUCUAGACGACUGUCUUUCUUGCAUUGACUUGUUGGUGCAGGGUAGGCUAAGUCGAAGAGGAAUGCUACCUGGU
rnacentral:misc_RNA from 1 species